CUUCAAUUAGUAUUUAUUGUAAAAGUAUUAAAAAUCAAGCUUAGUUAGUUAUUAACGGGACUACAUAAGCAUUACUAACAGAACGCCUUUUUAAAAAACCUAAACAUGUUUGCAUUAAGGUAAUUGUUGUUUCGCCCCCUGCAGCAUUGAACCAGAAACAUGAUGAAGCUAUUGUCUGGAUCAAGCAGAAUCAAAAUGUUCAUAUUCCUAAUUAAUUUUUUACUUUUUUGAAGAGACCAUUGGAAAAUCUUUUCUGAUAGAAACUGCUAAGAAUAAGAUCCAUGGUAAUGACUUUCAGUUAACUACCCAAAAAGCUAACCUUGAAGCUGAUCUUCUACUCCUAACAGAUGGACUAGUUGCAGUGACAGAUGAAUUGUUAGGCAAUAAGUUUUCUUAUAAUGGUAGUGAUUAUCAGUUACCUGACUUAAUCACCCAAAGAGCUAACCUUGAAGCUGAGAUUCAACAGCUAACGGAAAAAUUAGGUGCAAUUACAGAUAAAUUGCCAGGCCGCAAGUAUCCACCAAAUGUAGAGGAAUUAGUAGGAGUGUUAAAUAGUCUUGCGCGCACUGUGCUACCCAACCUGGACACCAGAAAUGAUGCUGAUGUUAAAAGCAUAUCAGAUGAUUUGACUGCACUGAACGCUGAAUUGUUUAGCAAACUUCAUGAUCCUCAAAACCAAGUUGGGAGCCAAGAUCAAGUUGGAAACCAAGAGCAAGAUGGAAACGAAGACCAAGAUGGAAACGAAGACCAAGGUGGAAAUGAAGACCAAGGUGGAAACCAAAACAAUUUUUAUGUAUAAAUAUGAAUAAAUAAGAUUCAAUCUA